rnacentral:rRNA from 1 species
UUGCCCUAGUAACGGCGAGUGAAGCGGCAACAGCUCAAAUUUGAAAUCUGGCUCUUUUAGGGUCCGAGUUGUAAUUUGCAGAGGGCGCUUUGGCGUUGGCAGCGGUCCAAGUUCUUUGGAACAGGACGUCACAGAGGGUGAGAAUCCCGUACGUGGUCGCUAGCCCUCGCCGUGUAAAGCCCCUUCGACGAGUCGAGUUGUUUGGGAAUGCAGCUCUAAAUGGGAGGUAAAUUUCUUCUAAAGCUAAAUACUGGCCAGAGACCGAUAGCGCACAAGUAGAGUGAUCGAAAGAUGAAAAGCACUUUGGAAAGAGAGUCAAAUAGCACGUGAAAUUGUUGAAAGGGAAGCGCUUGCAGCCAGACUUGCCUGUAGUUGCUUAUCCGGACUUUUGUCCGGUGCACUCUUCUGCGGGCAGGCCAGCAUCAGUCUAGGCGGUUGGAUAAAGGUCUCUGUCAUGUACCUCUCUUCGGGGAGGCCUUAUAGGGGAGACGACAUGCAACCAGCCUGGACUGAGGUCCGCGCAUCUGCUAGGAUGCUGGCGUAAUGGCUGUAAGCGGCCCGUCUUGAAACACGGACCAAGGAGUCUAACAUCUAUGCGAGUGUUUGGGUGUCAAGCCCAGACGCGUAAUGAAAGUGAACGGAGGUGGGAACCCUUUGGGUGCACCAUCGACCGAUCCUGAUGUCUUCGGAUGGAUUUGAGUAAGAGCAUGGCUGUUGGGACCCGAAAGAUGGUGAACUAUGCUUGAAUAGGGUGAAGCCAGAGGAAACUCUGGUGGAGGCUCGCAGCGGUUCUGACGUGCAAAUCGAUCGUCAAAUUU